AUGCUGGUUUACACUGGUCUGAACUGGUUUAUACUGGUUUAUACUGGUCCGAACUGGUCCAUACUGGUCCGAACUGGUCCAUACUGGUCCGAACUGGUUUAUACUGGUUUAUACUGGUCCGAACUGGUUUUCAGGGCUGGUUUGGGGAGGGGCCCCUGCGGGGGCUGCUCCUGCCCCAGGUGCACCUGGACACCCUGGACGUGCUGGGAGCGCUGGUGCUGGCGUGUGGAGCCCGCCUGGUGCGCUGGGGGUCCCUCCUGGGCCGACUCUUCCCACAGGUUCUGAGCUCCUGGAGCGGCUGCCGGGAUCCCCCCCCCGGGCAGGAGAGACCCUUCGGGGCUCUGCGGUGCCGCCUGUACCAGGUGCUGGAGCUGUGGGUGCAGGGGCCGGCGCGGCCUCGGGGAUCCUGCAGGGUCCCGGCAGCGCCAGCGAGGCUCUCCUGGCUCACCUGAUCAGCGACAUCUCCCCCCCCUCCGAGGGGCCAAGGUGAGCCAAAAACUCCCUUUUUUCACCC
rnacentral:lncRNA from 1 species